CAGACACUGUUCCGAGGGACUGUGUGUGCUCCACACCUCUCUGUGUAUUUGUGUGACACACUGUUCCGACGGACUCUCUGUGUUCUGCCUGUGCUCUCCGCACCUCUUCUGUAUGGCUGUGUGCGACAGACAUUGUUGCGAGGGACUCUUGUGUGCUCCACACCCUUCUGUGUGCGACAGACACUGUUCCGAGGGAUGCUCUGUGUGCUCCACACCCCUCUGUGUGACUGUGUGCGACAGACACUGUUCUGAGGGACUCUGUGUUCUGCCUGUGUGCUCCACACCCCUUCUGUAUGGCUGGUGUGACGCUGUUUCGACAGACUCUCUGUGUUCUGCCUGUGUGCUCCACACCCCUCUGUAUGGCUGUGUGUGACAGGCACCGUUCCGAGGGAUGCUCUGUGUGCUCCACACCCUUCUGUGUAUCUGUGUGUGACAGACACUGCUUUGAGGGACUCUCUGCUUGUGUGCCCCACACCCCUCUGUGUGUGUCUCUGUUUGUGUGUGUGUGGGACAAUUGCUGUGUCACCCCGUGGGUGCAUUAGUGAUGUCCACCUGUAGGUCUGUGAGAAGCAGCCGUGUUUGUUACAACAAACACCUGUGUGUGUCAGUGACAGGCAGAAAAUGUGACACUGAGUGUGCCUGAAGCAUGUGUGACACUGUGUGUUUGUCACCUGUUUGUGUGUGCAGCGCCUGUGUGAGAUGGUGGGUGAAGCACCGUGCAUGUCCAACACCUACUCUAUGACCCUGAAUCAGACACUGUGUGUGUUUGGAGAGAAUGAUGUCUGUGUGAGUGUGAGACACCUCUGAUGUGGGACACUCACUGUGCAUGUGCAUUUGUCACACACGAUCCAGGGUGUGAGAUAAAGACCUUAUGUGACACACCUGAGCACGUGUGAAGUGUGUGUGUGACACAUCCUCAAGUGCAGCACCUGUGUGAGUGCACACCUUGCUUCAUGUGUAUGUGACUGCAGCUCGUGUGUGAAUUUCACAUGUGUGAGCACCUCUGUGUGGCACUCUGGUUUGUGGCCUUUCUCCUGGACCUUUCAGAAGGUGGCUUUCCAUGUAGCUGUCCUUCAUUUAGCACAGAUGGGAGCUGAGCUCUGCAGGGUGUUUUAUUAGGAUUCUUUCAAAAAUUUUCAGCCUUUUUUCACAGUUCUAUUUUUGAUUCUCUGGAUUGUGAUGAAUUGCUUAAAAUCAUCCCCUUUUGAUAUGUAUUUAAACUGAUAACUACUGAUCUAUGAUCCAUUAUGUGGUAUUAUCACAGCAGCUGUGCCUUGCUUGGCAAAACUGCACAGACCUGAUAUCAUGGCACACAUCCAGGUACAUCUAUCAGCAGUAUUCUCUAACAAUGCCAUUUAUAGAUGGCAAGAACUGAAAUCAAAACAAAAUCCUCUCUUUCUCUAAAGCAUAUACAAACCCAGCUUUGCUAUGUUGCAACUCAUAUCCACAUAGUUUAAAGCAUUCACAUAAAAUAAUUAAUUUUGGUUUGAAUAUUGCAUUUCUUAUGUUUGAUGUUGACAGAAUGGUUCAGUAUUUUCUUUGGUUUAUUCUUUGAUAUUUUCUUCCUCUACUUUCAACUUGGUUUUUUCUCACUAUCUCCCUUUCUAAUAUUUUUGCAGGCUCCUGUUCUUCUUUGCAGGAACUCUCUUGAUGGGAAAGCCUCUAGCAGUCAGUCCUAGGGUUGUCUCCUCCCUGAAGCCUUUACUAACUUUAGCUUUUUAGCAGGCAAACCCAAAUGUAAACACUUGCCUAAUUUUUAUUUUAAAUUUUCUUUCUAAACCUGUUACUAUGGCUUGCCUUUGGCUUGUGUACGAAGUCUGUAAGCAGAAAACCUUUUAGUCACUGGAGCAGUGUUUGAUAAUCUGUCUAGCCUGUGAAAAAGAUCUGAAUGACUCCAGCUGUCUUCUCAGAACAGAUCCUGCAGAGCUCCGAUGAGAAUGGUUUAGCACAGGUGUAUGGGAGAGCUUGAUAACCAAGAUGGAUUGGAAAUUCAUAUGAAUGAUGGAUUGGACAUUUCCAUGAAUAAUUGAUUUGCCAUACCUGCUUUCAAGAGGCAGCACCACCACAUCUUCUGAGGCUGGGAACCAGGAAAGAAAGAGACUAAAAAGAAGCCACAUGCAGCACUGGAUCUUUAAAUGACCUUUGAUAUCUAAGAGACUACAGAAAUUAAUUCUGGUUUUGGAGAGCAAAUGUUCUGAGCGUGUACACAGAAGAUACUUUCAGUUGUUAAAAGGCUUAAAAGUUUUUGGUGGAAGGGGCCAUUCUCAGUGCUUUAAACAGUCAAAAUACAGAACAGAUCCAGGAGCUCAGAACAAAACUUCAUCUGGUCUACAGUCUCGUUUUGGUCAUUGACUCACAGAGAAUGAAUGUCCUAGACCAGACACUCAUGAGAAUCACAUUUGGAAGUUUAGGCAUCCAGGACUUCAAACAUUCUCAGCAGAGGACUUGGAUUUAUGAGUCAUGUUCAUCUGAUCAAAUAUGUGAUUCAAACAUGAAUUUUUUAAAAAGCACCAAAGGCUACAGCUUGGCUUUACCUUUGGUUUCUACUUUUAGAAGUUUUUCAGAUGGCUCUGCUGACCUUGGAAUUCCCUUUGUACAAGUUCAACCCUGAAAAUGAAGUCAGAUGUGCAGUGCCCUGCCUGGCUGUGGUUGUAGUAAAAUUUUGUGAUGUUCCAAGGCAGGUUUAGUCAUCUUUGUCUAAGUAGUGCCCAGAGCUGUAUCUACUAUUUUAGAAUCAGACAUAAACAAGUGUAUUCUCUGUCUAUAAAUGGACAGGGGUAUUACAUGAACAACAGCUUGUGGUGAUUCACAUGGGAAUCAACUGGAUGUUUCUGCCAGAAUAAUUCACCUGGAGAGAUGACUGCUUCCAUUCACUUCCUUUCUUGGAAGCAGGCUGAGAAUAACAAACUGUUCCGAUAACAUCAGCCUAAUUCCAGUCAACAUAGUUCCUGCUGAGAGGCAGGGCAGGCCCCACCCUGCUGCAUGACAGGCAGUAAUUGGGCCUAGAAAUGUGACUCAUAACUCUGACACUUUGCCUCAGAGUUAGGUGUCAGCAGCCGCCAGUUGUCACAAACCCCUGUUUGAAACAGUGAUGCCAAACCUUCUCUCCAGCAGUUCAGUGUUCACCUCUCACUUCUUGGGGCUCUGAAAAACCUCAGUCUCCGCUGUGUGUUUCUAUUAGAUGGCUGCAGGAUUUAAAAUCAGAGUUUCCCUCUGUCUUGCGGCUGUUUCUCUUGCUGCAAACUAAACAUUCAGGGCACUUCAUGGUGGUCAGUGUGCCCACAAAGAGAGGACAGCCUCAUUUUAGACCACCUCAAUGAUUUCUAGGCAUUUAUAUUUGUUGAAGCAGAUACUGCUGUAGCCUUGUCCUCUCUUCUUCCAGCUCUAUAAACACUAGGCCAUUAAAUGUUUAAUGGUUUUGGGUUUAUUGAAUGUUUAACUAUUUCAUGCUAAAUGGAAAAGUCAUUGAAAGGAAGAAGGGCAUUGUCUAUCAAUCAUAUAAUUGCAGUAUUAAUAACAAUAAGCUGUGACUACAUGGAUCUCAGCUUCUAAGUUAGACAACAACAUUAGACAAAUAACUCUGGAUCUGUCUGGUUUAUUAUCUUGUCUCCAGCAAUAUCAUACAGCAGAAAUCUAGGGAAAAGGACAGGUAGAGAGAGACCUUUCUGAAAACACCCUCUUCAUUUCCAGAAAAUGGUAGCUCAUGUCUUCCCCAGUUAGAGGUGGUAUCACAUCAUUCCACAUUCAUCUCCAUUAUUGAGGCUAGUCAUUUUUUUUAGGCCAUGCAAACUCUUGGCAUGCAUAACAUUCUGUAGCAAGGGUUUCCAGUGCAGGCAUGGUAUUUUGGAGCCUGUCCCUUGUUUGUUUCAUCUGAGGAUUGUGCUGGCCCACAGUCAUAGGCUCAAACCACCCACAGUGACCUUCAUCCCCUAAGAGCUGCACUGGAGUCCAAACCUGAACCAUGACUCUGAAAUUUACCUGCACAUGGACAUGUGGGUGUGAAGGGACUGAGGGGCUUGUCCAAGAUUACAUGGAGAACCACUGGAAAAAAAGGAAAACAUCUCAAGAGGACUCUGAUGAAAGCACCCAAACUUUCCUUCAAAUGUCUUUCUCUCUGGCUUGGUAUCAGUCUUAGUGCUACAAUUUGGGCUUGCCAGAUAAUCUGCAGCAGCUUGCUGGAUCCCAGAGUGUCUGAUCUUCUCUUUUGAGCCCAUGGAGAGCUAGGCUUCUGGCCAGCUAAGGAGAACAAUCCAGGCAGGCAGCCCUCUGGCCAAACUCCCUCUGGUGUGCUAGCUUGGACAUUGAUAUUUCCCUGACACUAAGCUUUCCUCUUCAGCAUGAAUUGCUCAUUACUUGAAUUCCAUCAGGGAUUUCUUGUGUCAUGAAGGAGUGGAGAUUCUGCCUGAACACACUGAGCAGGACUGACUGCUUUCUGUGGAUGAAGCUGUUGAUGUGUGUGUGUGUGCCUGUAUCUGCAGGACAUAGAUGUCUCAGUGUUUGCCUCUCAAUGGUGCCUCUGUUCUACAGCCAUCUGUGGAUAAAGCUGCUAUUCUGCCAUGAACAAUGACUCAUACAGGAAAGUCUUGAAGAAUUAGGCAAGAACUGUGUUCGUCCUGAGGACUAUUGAAGAUGAGGAUCCAAUCCCAUAAAUCCUUGGAAAAACUCAGCCUUAGUUUUCCCUUGACAGCUUUAAUCUUUAAAACCUGCUCUUGCUGAUACACAUUUGCCAACAGCAGGUUGGCAGCAAACUGUCUCUGUCAGUGGGCAUCACACAUCCACUGCUUGCCUCUGAGCCCUGCUCACUGUGACCAGCUUCUUCUCACUCCAUUUUCCAAAGAGGAUUUUACUGGUGACUCUUCCAUCUCCUAUAUUCUCGUGAGCCCCCACAGAUUAUUGUCUCCAGUCCCUUUUCUUGUAGGGUCACUAUUCCUGACUUCCUGCAAGCUUCACCUGGACCUGGAGCUGCCCAAAAGCUCUGUGAAGGCUGUAGGGACUAUCUGGGUAUCAAAAAAUCACAACAAUCUCUGCUUCAAAUAUCUAGCCAGGUUUGGGUACUCAGGAAAGAGGUGAAAGGAAGGAAACAUCCAGAGGGUUUUAUCAGGCUGUCUCCUGUAGGCAGAAUGAAAGCAGAAGAGUUUCUGAAGAUCAAUUGUGCUUCUCCAACUAGUGGGGAAGGUUCUGGUUUGUGGCACCACUGUAGAAAGAAAAGAUUGCAGGGUUUUUAUGUUGCAGAAAGGAAACUGUCUGAGGAAUGAAGAUUAAAAUGAUCAAGAAAGUUUAGAACAAAUGGGCAUAUCCUCAUAAUGUAAUUAUAAGGAAAUUCCAGGUGUGUAAACCAUACAUACAAAAAAUAAACACAAUAAACACAAGUUUUCAAUUGGGCUAGAAGUUAUUUAGGAAUUUUAUUCCCAGAUUUUGAAAUUUCUCUAGGUACCAGGCCUGUGCUUCUCGACCUUUCCAGUGAAUUUAUCAGUCCUCAAGCUGCAGAGUGCAACUUCCUUCCUGCUAGAUUAGUGAGUUCAGCUGGGUCAGUGAAGAAUGUGCAUUGAAAUCCCAUCUCCUGCUCCAAGCAGGGCUAACUUCCAAGCUGGCUAAAGUCACUCCAGGGUCUUGACCACAUGUAUCCUGGAAAUCCCAUGGAGAUUCUAAAACCUCCUUGGGCAGCUUGUCCCAAGGCUGCAGCACUCUCCUGGUAAAUGAGGUGCUCCCUUUGUUGGGAAAAGAAUUUUCUAGCAGGCAACAUGAGCCCAUUGCUCUUGUCCUUUCACUGUGCACUUGCAGGAAAAGCUUGGAUGUGUUGGAAUUUUAUCCCCCCCUUGCAGCAGCAUCUCUGCAGUGCGAUCCCCCAGCCUUCCCUAAAUUCCCACCUCGUCUCCUCACCCAGCACAGGCUCCUGCUGGUCCUGGGGCUGUGCUGGAGCCUCUCCAGUGAGUCAGCAUCCCCCUCACAAUGGGCUGUGUGUGUGUGAGAGCUGCACAGAGUGCUGCAGAUGCAGCUCCCCCGGGGCAGGCAGAGGGAGUGACCACAUCCCUGCACUCGCUGACCACUUGCUGACCACUUGCUGACCACUUGCUGGUGCAGUCCCGUGACUGGUGGGUGUUGCUGCUGCAGGGGAGCACUGCUGACACAGGUCCAGCUUGUUUUCCACCAGAAUCCCAAGGCCUUUACUGCAUGGCUGCACUCUGCUGUCAGUCCUCACUCUGUCCUAAUGCAUGGAGUUGUUUUGUCCCAGGUUAAAAAAAA